rnacentral:rRNA from 1 species
GGAUUAGAUACCCUGGUAGUCCACGCUGUAAACGAUGAUAACUAGAUGUUCGGAAUUUAUUCUGAGUGUUUAAGCGAAAGCGAUAAGUUAUCCACCUGGGGAGUACGACCGCAAGGUUGAAACUCAAAGGAAUUGACGGGGGCCCGCACAAGCGGUGGAGCAUGUGGUUUAAUUCGAUGAUACGCGAGGAACCUUACCUAGGCUCUAAUGUGUGGUGACGUAAAUUGAAAGGUUUAUUUCCGCAAGGACAACAUACAAGGUGCUGCAUGGUUGUCGUCAGCUCGUGUUG